rnacentral:rRNA from 1 species
UACGUAGGGGGCAAGCGUUGUCCGGAUUUAUUGGGCGUAAAGAGCUCGUGGGCGGCUUGGCAAGUCGGAUGUGAAACCUCCAGGCUCAACCUGGAGUCGCCAUUCGAUACUGCCAUGGCUAGAGUUUGGUAGGGGACCACGGAAUUCCUGGUGUAGCGGUGAAAUGCGCAGAUAUCAGGAGGAACACCAGCGGCGAAGGCGGUGGUCUGGGCCAAUACUGACGCUGAGGAGCGAAAGCGUGGGGAGCGAACAGGAUUAGGUACCCUGGUAGUCCACGCCGUAAACGUUGGGCACUAGGUGUGGGGACCUAUCGACGGUUUCUGUGCCGCAGCUAACGCAUUAAGUGCCCCGCCUGGGGAGUACGGCCGCAAGGCUAAAACU